CUACGUGCCAGCAGCCGCGGUAAUACGUAGGGCGCGAGCGUUGUCCGGAAUUAUUGGGCGUAAAGAGCCUGUAGGCGGUUUGUCGCGUCUGCUGUGAAAGGCCGGGGCUUAACUCCGUGUAUUGCAGUGGGUACGGGCAGACUAGAGUGCAGUAGGGGAGACUGGAAUUCCUGGUGUAGCGGUGGAAUGCGCAGAUAUCAGGAGGAACACCGAUGGCGGAGGCAGGUCUCUGGGCUGUAACUGACGCUGAGAAGCGAAAGCAUGGGGAGCGAACAGGAUUAGAUACCCUGGUAGUCCAUGCCGUAAACGUUGGGCACUAGGUGUGGGGGACAUUCCACGUUUUCCGCGCCGUAGCUAACGCAUUAAGUGCCCCGCCUGGGGAGUACGGCCGCAAGGCUAAAACUCAAAGAAAUUGACGGGGGCCCGCACAAGCGGCGGAGCAUGCGGAUUAAUUCGAUGCAACGCGAAGAACCUUACCAAGGCUUGACAU
rnacentral:rRNA from 1 species